rfam:Planktothrix tepida PCC 9214 isolate BBR_PRJEB10993 genome assembly, scaffold: BBR_B_PL9214_scaffold46
GUUAUAAUAGCCAUUAAUCCCUUUCAGGGAUUGAAAC